GACGAAACCCAACACAUUAAACGGUGAGUUUUGCCAUUUUGCUCUAUCUCAGAAGUAAGGAAUAGGGGAGGAGAAGGAAGAGGAUGGUGACGUCAUCGAUAGCAGCAACAUCCAUUCCACCGGCUAAAACAUUUCUAUGGAGAAGAACAAGCAUGACUGUGAAUGCGAAAGGCAGAGGUGACAAUCGAAAGCCCUUGCAGAAAGGCAGGAACCUCAGCAUCGAAGCUAUUCAGGCUGUCCAGGCUUUGAAAAGAUCCUACUACAAUUCCAAUCAAUCCCAUUCUUUCCGCCAUGUUUUCCGCUCCAAGUUCAGCCGCUUGUUGAAGCUCGAUAUGUUGGCCGUUCUCCGGGAACUCCUCCGCCAGAAUCACUGCCUUUUGGCCCUCCAGGUUUUUGAAGAUAUUCGAAAGGAAUACUGGUAUAAGCCCCAGCUCUCUUUGUAUAAUGAUAUGAUUCAAGUGAUGGCAAGUAAUGGGUAUUUAAAGCAAGUUGAAGUUCUUUGCAUUUACUUGAAAACAGAAAGUAAUUUACUUGGUGAGACUGAGGGAUUUAGUGCUCUGAUGACAACAUUGAUAAAUUUUAAACUAACCAGACUUUCCAUGGAGUGCUAUGAUUUCAUGAAAGCUCUAGGAUAUGAACCUGACAGGCCAACCUUCCGAAUGCUCAUAAAUGGUUUGGAAUCAAUAGGUGAAUCUGGUGCUUCAACUAUUUUAAGGCAGGAUGCACAAAAUUAUUAUGGUGAAUCUCUGGAUUUCUUAGAGGAGGAUGAGGAUGAGAUGACAACAAGCAAUAGCUCUGAUGGCAAGUUGAAUUAAUUUAUCAUUUCAUGCUUUUUGAGGGAUCAAAAGCCAUCUUUAUAUUCGUUCAUGUGCACCACCUUUCACUUUCAGAGAACCUCUUGGAGUGUCAUUGAACCUCUUCUAAAGUUUCUGGGAUUGUUUACUGCAAUACGCUUGAUGGUUCAAAAUUUUCCGGUGUUUUACAGAGCAAUCUAAUGGUUUUUCAUCACCCCAUAAGAUUACUUUCCACAUCAUUCAUUCAUUUGAUCAUCACUUCUAUUACCGCCCAAAAGCUUUGUAAGUUUUCCCAUUAAGGCUGUUUUACUUUUACUCAUUUAAUUUGUGGUAGUGGUAGAAAGAGGAGUGACUUGUACCAUUUUUUCACUUUCAUGAUGACGGUUCUACUCUAGCUGUUCAGUACAUGUGGUUGGAACUGAUUGCUUAUUAGAUACAUAGCCCGUGGUCAUGAUAAUCUAUAUUUGCUUUUGGGAGAGCUAAAUUUGUUAGAUUGCUGAGCCACAUAAGACAGCCUGCAUGACGGGUGAAAUCACAAAAUUAAUUCAAACAUAUAAUUCAAAUUUUUCAUCAAGGCAGAAAUUGUUGUUUGCUCGAGUUGUCUAUGUCAUGCUGCACUGGGCAGCCAUUAGUGUUGCUUUGUCAUCUUUGUGACGGCAUAAAUUCACUCCUUUGGCUGCUUAUUAUCUAUCCCUACAUUUCAAUAUUCCAUGCAUAUCAGAAAUAGAAAAUCAUUUCCUGCGUGUACAAGUACAUUAACAUUUGUUUGGGAGUAAAAAAUGUUUUUCAGUGUUGUUAAGUAGUGUUUAAUUUGCUAAUUUGUCAUGCCAAUAUACUUCUCCAAAGACAGCCUAAUUCAAAAGGCAGGGAUUGCCUUUAGAGAAUUGAAGUUUACAUACCUCUGUUUUCUUUUCUU
rnacentral:misc_RNA from 1 species